GACAGAGGGGGCAAGCGUUGCUCGGAAUCACUGGGCGUAAAGGGCGCGUAGGCGGGAUGGCAAGUCGGUCGUGAAAUCCUUCGGCUCAACCGAAGAACGUCGGCCGAUACUGCCGUUCUUGAGGGAUGCAGAGGAGAUUGGAAUUCCCGGUGUAGCGGUGAAAUGUGUAGAGAUCGGGAGGAACACCGGUGGCGAAGGCGGGUCUCUGGGCAUCUCCUGACGCUGAGGCGCGAAAGCGUGGGGAGCAAGCGGG
rnacentral:rRNA from 1 species